rnacentral:rRNA from 1 species
AUACGUAGGUGGCAAGCGUUGUCCGGAAUUAUUGGGCGUAAAGCGCGCGCAGGUGGUUCCUUAAGUCUGAUGUGAAAGCCCCCGGCUCAACCGGGGAGGGUCAUUGGAAACUGGGGAACUUGAGUGCAGAAGAGGAUAGUGGAAUUCCAAGUGUAGCGGUGAAAUGCGUAGAGAUUUGGGGGAACACCAGUGGCGAAGGCGAGUGUCUGGGCUGUAACUGACACUGAGGCGCGAAAGCGUGGGGAGCAAACAGGAUUAGAUACCCUGGUAGUCCACGCCGUAAACGAUGAGUGCUAAGUGUUGGGGGGUUUCCGCCCCUCAGUGCUGCAGCUAACGCAUUAAGCACUCCGCCUGGGGAGUACGGUCGCAAGACUGAAACUCAAAUGAAUUGACGGGG